UACGGGGGGGGCAAGCGUUGUUCGGAAUUACUGGGCGUAAAGGGCUCGUAGGCGGCCAACUAAGUCAGACGUGAAAUCCCUCGGCUUAACCGGGGAACUGCAUCCGAUACUGGAUGGCUUGAAUCCGGGAGAGGGAUGCAGAAUUCCAGGUGUAGCGGUGAAAUGCGUAGAUAUCUGGAGGAAUACCGGUGGCGAAGGCGGCAUCCUGGACCGACAUUGACGCUGAGGAGCGAAAGCUAGGGGAGCAAACGGG
rnacentral:rRNA from 1 species